AACUUUUGACAAUGGAUCUCUUGGCUCUCCCAUCGAUGAAGAACGCAGCGAACUGCGAUACGUAAUGUGAAUUGCAGAAUUCAGUGAAUCAUCGAAUCUUUGAACGCAUCUUGCGCCGCUCGGUUUUCCGAGGGGCACGUCUGUUUGAGUGUCACGUUAAUCUAUCACUCACCUUUGGGUGAGGUGGACUUGGACUGUGCUGUCGCUCGUUUGACGGCUCGUCUCGAAAUGCAUUGUUGCCUGCAGAGUCUUGCGCGGAGCGAGUCUGAUGAAACGGUGUGAUAUUUAUAUCUGCGCUGAAGUAGUCGGGUUUGAGCUGCUGCACCAGUAGUGCUCUGGGCUUAAAAUGACGAGGCGUGGAAUUUUAUUUUCAUGCCCCAAUUUUAUUUUGCGUUUGACCUCAAAUCAGAUGGGACUACCCGCUGAACUUAAGCAUAUCAAUAAGCGGAGGCU
rnacentral:misc_RNA from 1 species